rnacentral:rRNA from 1 species
UACGUAGGGUGCGAGCGUUAAUCGGAAUUACUGGGCGUAAAGCGUGCGCAGGCGGUUUUAUAAGCCAGAUGUGAAAGCCCCGGGCUCAACCUGGGAAUGGCAUUUGGGACUGUAAGGCUGGAGUAUGGCAGAGGAGACUAGAAUUCCUGGUGUAGCAGUGAAAUGCGUAGAUAUCAGGAGGAAUACCGAUGGCGAAGGCAGGUCUCUGGGACGUAACUGACGCUGAGACGCGAAAGCGUGGGGGAGCAAACAGG